GUUGACAGAGUUUUUCAUUCCGACUUCGAAAGUCGUCUCACUUUAUAAUUCACCAAUAUGAAGACUUUGCUUGUAUUAUUGAUUUUGUCUGUCGUCAUGAUGGCUACUUUAGCCAUUAAAUAUGGAUAUGGUGGAUUUGGAGGUUAUGGUGGAGGUUAUGGAGGAGGUUAUGGUGGAGGUUAUGGUGGUGGUUAUGGUGGUGGCUUUAAGAAAAUUGGAGGAUUUGGUGGAUUCAGAAGAGGAUUUGGUGGUUAUGGUGGUUAUGGAGGAUUUGGAAGAGGUUUUGGUGGCUAUGGAGGAUUUGGAAAAUUUCAUAAAGGCUAAAUAAGUAAAAAAUUGUAAUUGAUCUCUUCUACUUCAUCCCAGAACUUAGAUUUUUCCUUACAAGUUUAAUUUAUGUAAAAUAUAUAUGUUCAUAAAAAUAAUGUAGUUUUACACAUUUGUAUAAAUAAACUCUUCUUCUAAGCUCAAA
rnacentral:lncRNA from 1 species